rnacentral:rRNA from 1 species
UACGUAGGGGGCAAGCGUUGUCCGGAUUUAUUGGGCGUAAAGAGCGUGUAGGCGGCUUGGUAGGUCCGCUGUGAAAACUCGAGGCUCAAUCUCGAGAUGUCGGCGGAAACCACUUGGCUAGAGUCCGGAAGAGGAGAAUGGAAUUCCCGGUGUAGCGGUGAAAUGCGUAGAUAUCGAGAGGAACACCUGCGGCGAAGGCGGGUUGCUGGGCUGACACUGACGCUGAAGCGCGAAAGCUAGGGGAGCGAACGGG